rnacentral:lncRNA from 1 species
AUUUUAUAUUAUUUUUAAUUUUUCUUUUAUAUAUAAAAUUAAUUUUACACAGAUCCUUAUAUAAAUAUAAUGAAUUAUAAAUAUAUUCUUAUAAAGUUUAAUUUUCAUAUAUUAUCUUCGCAAAAUUUCUGAUAUUUUUAAAUAUAUUCUUGUCAUUAAGAUCGGGUAGAAAAAAUUAGUUAAUCAUAGAUAAAAAAACUAAAUCUUAGCUAGUUAAUGAGAUGAAUCAAUCUUUUUAUCCCUAUUUAAUUGACAGUCGGGAUUUUUGUGAUGGCAAAAAGGCCAUUUCACUUAUAAAAUAAACAGUAUUGUAACGGUAACAAACCAUAAAGAUAUAUUUGAAAUUAUUAGGAUUUUUAUAGAAACAAUAUAUAAAAAUUAAAUUUUGUAGGAAUGUAUUUGUAAUGCACCAUGUUUACAGAAACUUGUAUGAAAUUAAUCCUAAAUUAUAAUAGCAUGUUAUUGCACUUU